GAAACCUGGAGAUCAAGUAGCUGUGUUAGAUCCUAAUGCAUGAAAUAAAGAGCUUGAAAUUUACAUGACGAAACCUGGAGAUCAAGUAGCUAUGGCAGCAUGCCACUUGUGCGCCUGCAACACCCGACGAAGCUGACGAUAACCAUCCUGGUAAUGCUCCAAGGAGAAGCACAGCUGCCUUAUCGCCUCCCUCUUCCCUUCAGCGCUGUCAAAGAUCACCACCCUCUGCCUGUCCACCUCCUCCUCCAGCUCACUGACCCUCGAGCGCAGCCCAACAGCUUCUUUCCGAGUCUCCUCUAAUUCAGUGAUCAGUUUGACGUGCUCCAAAUGCAACUGAUGCAGGUGCUCAUUCAGCUCAUAUAUUCGUCCAUCCCGAGAUUUCACAUCCAUGAUGAGUGCGUUCACCUUAGCAGCAAGCUCCUCAUUUUGGUGAACAGCAAGCUCCUCUUUUUCGGACGAUAGCCUGUCAACAUCAAGC
rnacentral:misc_RNA from 1 species